CUAGUUCUCGCGUAGUUUAGUUCUGGCGUGUUUUAGAGAGCAGCCAGGUGAGUCAGAGAUUGCCCCCCAGGGUAAAAAUCGUGUAAUUUAUAAUCCUGUGCCGCUUAUGUAGUGUGAAAUUCACAACAACUGAAGGACUCGCGAGUAACAGCACAACCAGUCGACUUCAUGAGAGGUGUAGUGAGAGGCAGGCAGUAGAGGUUAACAAGAUCCCCAGGACUCUUUCUCUCUCCCUGACGGUGAAUUUAUCCAACAAGCAGAAGCUUCUAUGGGUCUCCCGUUUACUCCUCUGACCCUCAAUACUGCAGGAUUAAAAAGCUCUUUUUUUCUCCUUUUACAAAGAAUGGGCUCAUCCAAGCAAGGAAACCUUGGGAGUUUUCUACUUGUACUCUUUUGGGACUAAGUAUGCUACAUAGAAACAGCAGCCGGAGUGUUCUCCUCACCCUCUUCCUCCAUGUUCACAUCAGGUUUCUCCUCUGCAAUUACCUGCCGAGGAGGUGGAAGAAGCUUCUGUUGCUGCUGCUGCUACAAGGAGGCAGAGACAAAAGAACACACUCGUGUGAAAUCAUGCAUUCAAUGAUGAGCAUGUCAAUAUUACUGUUAUUAUAUUGAUGUGUUAUUAAAGUGAGCAGCAUCUUCAAA